rnacentral:rRNA from 1 species
UAGGGAAUCUUCCGCAAUGGACGGAAGUCUGACGGAGCAACGCCGCGUGAGUGAAGAAGGAUUUCGGUUCGUAAAACUCUGUUGUUAGAGAAGAACAGCGCAUAGAGUAACUGUUAUGCGUGUGACGGUAUCUAACCAGAAAGCCACGGCUAACUACGUGCCAGCAGCCGCGGUAAUACGUAGGUGGCAAGCGUUGUCCGGAUUUAUUGGGCGUAAAGCGAGCGCAGGCGGUCAAUUAAGUCUGAUGUGAAAGCCCCCGGCUCAACCGGGGAGGGUCAUUGGAAACUGGUUGACUUGAGUGCAGAAGAGGAGAGUGGAAUUCCAUGUGUAGCGGUGAAAUGCGUAGAUAUAUGGAGGAACACCAGUGGCGAAGGCGACUCUCUGGUCUGUAACUGACGCUGAGGUUCGAAAGCGUGGGUAGCAAACAGG